rnacentral:rRNA from 1 species
UACGUAGGGUGCGAGCGUUGUCCGGAUUUAUUGGGCGUAAAGAGCUCGUAGGCGGUUUGUCGCGUCGGCCGUGAAAUCUCCACGCUUAACGUGGAGCGUGCGGUCGAUACGGGCAGACUUGAGUUCGGUAGGGGAGACUGGAAUUCCUGGUGUAGCGGUGAAAUGCGCAGAUAUCAGGAGGAACACCCGUGGCGAAGGCGGGUCUCUGGGCCGAUACUGACGCUGAGGAGCGAAAGCGUGGGGAGCGAACAGG